GACGAACGCUGGCGGCGUGCUUAACACAUGCGAGUCGAACGAUGAUCAGGAGCUUGCUCCUGUGAUUAGUGGCGAACGGGUGAGUAACACGUGAGUAACCUGCCCCUGACUCUGGGAUAAGCGUUGGAAACGACGUCUAAUACUGGAUAUGAUCACUGGCCGCAUGGUCUGGUGGUGGAAAGAUUUUUUGGUUGGGGAUGGACUCGCGGCCUAUCAGCUUGUUGGUGAGGUAAUGGCUCACCAAGGCGACGCCGGGUAGCCGGCCUGAGAGGGUGACCGCCCACACUGGGACUGAGACACGGCCCAGACUCCUACGUGAGGCAGCAGUGGGGAAUAUUGCACAAUGGGCGAAAGCCUGAUGCAGCAACGCCGCGUGAGGGAUGACGUCCUUCGGGGUGUAAACCUCUUUUAGUAGGGAAGAAGCGAAAGUGACGGUACCUGCAGAAAAAGCACCGGCUAACUACGUG
rnacentral:rRNA from 1 species